rnacentral:lncRNA from 1 species
GUUCAGCAGCCAGUUUGAUACAUUUUUGUGGGAUGUCGAUCGUCGAUUUAUUGAUUUUUAAUCCGCACAAUAUAUGGCGCACCUCGUGGACAUCAAUAGGACGAAACAUAAAACUGUCUCUAAAUGUUCUUGUAAUAUAUUGGACUGUGCUAGAGUCAUUGUGAUAGGGGAUGUUGUCAGCUAAACUAGGUCCAACAUUUACGAAAUAAGAAUUAAGUUUUUG